GACAGAGGAGCCAAGCGUUGUCCGGAAUAACUGGGCGUAAAGCGCACGCAGGCGGUGCGGUGCUUGGGGUGUGAAAACUGGCGGCUUAACUGCCAGAGGCCACCUCAUACGGCCGCACUCGAGCUCUGCAGAGGUCCAUGGAAUUGCCGGUGUAGUGGUGAAAUGCGUAGAUAUCAGGAGGAACACCGGUGGCGAAGGCGGCUCUCUGGACGGUGACUGACGCUGAGACGCGAAAGCGUGGGGAGCAAACAGG
rnacentral:rRNA from 1 species